AUUGAACGCUGGCGGCAUGCCUUACACAUGCAAGUCGAACGGCAGCACGGGAGCAAUCCUGGUGGCGAGUGGCGAACGGGUGAGUAAUGUAUCGGAACGUGCCCAGUCGUGGGGGAUAACGUAGCGAAAGCUACGCUAAUACCGCAUACGAUCUAUGGAUGAAAGCGGGGGAUCGCAAGACCUCGCGCGAUUGGAGCGGCCGAUAUCAGCUUAGGUAGUUGGUGGGGUACGGGCCCACCAAGCCUGCGAUCUGUAGCUGGUAUGAGAGGACGACCAGACACAAUGGAUCUGGGACACAGUCCCGAGUCAUACGGGAGGCAGCGGUGGGGAAUUUUGGACAAUGGGCUAAAGACUGAUCCAGCAAUGCCGCGUGCAGGAUGAAGGCAUUCGGGUUGUAAACUGCUUUUGGACGAAACGAAACGGCUUUUUUCUAAUACAGAGAGCUAAUGACGGAACCGUAAGAAUAAGCACCGGCUAUCUACGUGCCAGCAGCCGCGGUAA
rnacentral:rRNA from 1 species